rnacentral:rRNA from 1 species
GACGAACGCUGGCGGCGCGCUUAACACAUGCAAGUCGAGCGAGAACCAGACCUUCGGGUCUGGGGACAGCGGCGAACGGGUGAGUAACACGUGGGUAAUCAACCCUCGGUCCUGGGAUAGCCCGGGGAAACCCGGAUUAAUACCGGAUGGCCCUUCGGAUCUUCGGUUCUGAAGGAAAAGGUAGCUUCGGCCUCCGACCGAGGACGAGCCCGCGGCGGAUUAGCUUGUUGGUGGGGUAACGGCCUACCAAGGCGGCGAUCCGUAGCUGGUCUGAGAGGACGAUCAGCCAAACUGGGACUGAGACACGGCCAAGACGUCUACGGAAGGCAACAGUGGGGAAUCUUGCGCUAAUGCGGGAAACCGUGACGCAGCGACGCCGCGUGAGGGAAGAAGGCCUUCGGGUUGUAAGUCUCUUUCAGGAGGGACGAAGCUACUCGGGUUAAUAGCCCAGAGGGUGACGGUACCUUCAGAAGAAGCCCCGGCUAACUACGUGCCAGCAGCCGCCGUAA